GGCUGCAUAGUGUAGUGGUUAUCACAGUGGACUCUGAUACAAAGAGGUUAAUCCACUAACCGCAGUUCGAAUCUGCGUGUGGCCU
rnacentral:tRNA from 1 species